GAUGAACGCUAGCUACAGGCUUAACACAUGCAUGUCGCAGGGUAACAUGAGGAAAGCUUGCUUUCCUUGAUGACGACUGGCGCACGGGUGAGUAACGCGUAUCCAACCUUCCCAUAACUACGGGAUAACCCGUUGAAAGACGGCCUAAUACCGUAUGAUAUCGUUUGCUGACAUCAAAUAACGAUUAAAGGUUUAGCGGUUAUGGAUGGGGAUGCGUCUGAUUAGCUUGUUGGCGGGGUAACGGCCCACCAAGGCGACGAUCAGUAGGGGUUCUGAGAGGAAGGUCCCCCACAUUGGAACUGAGACACGGUCCAAACUCCUACGGGAGGCAGCAGUGAGGAAUAUUGGUCAAUGGGCGAGAGCCUGAACCAGCCAAGUAGCGUGCAGGACGACGGCCCUAUGGGUUGUAAACUGCUUUUAUGUGGGGAUAAAGUGCGUGACGUGUCAUGCAUUGCAGGUACCACAUGAAUAAGGACCGGCUAAUUCCGUG
rnacentral:rRNA from 1 species